rnacentral:rRNA from 1 species
CCCCUAGAUGUUCUGGGCCGCACGCGCGCUACACUGAACAGUUCAACAAGUCUUAACCUUGGCCGAUAGGUCUGGGUAAUCUUUGAACGCUGUUCGUGAUUGGGAUAGACCUUUGCAAUUAUGGGUCUUCAACGAGGAAUUCCUGGUAAACGCAAGUCAUCAGCUUGCAUUGAUUACGUCCCUGCCCUUUGUACACACCGCCCGUCGCACCUACCGAUUGAAUGGUCCGGUGAAAUCUCGGGACGGCGGCUUGGUCGCUUGCGUCCGACUGCUGAAACUUGAUUAAACCAUAUCAUUUAGAGGAAGGUGAAGUCGUANCA